GUCUGUGAGGAUGAGAAGGUCUCCACAGUCUGGAGUCUGGUCUCUGACAGGUUCAACAUAACUGUCAAUCAACAGGGACUCCUCUACAAAGGCAAGGCGCUGGCAGGCUACAACACUCUAAACAGGUCAAUCGAAGCGAAAUCUCAUCAGAAAUGACUGGACCAGCUACAGUGUACAGCGAGCAGGUUUCUUGUGUCUCUCACUGAGAAGCACAGGAGCUGGGACGGUUCAAUGAAGGCCCUGCACACUCACACUCGCCCGCCCCGCCCCGCCGCUCUCGCUCUCCAGCCAGGGAAUGCGAGCGUCUGGAUCCUCAUCGGAAAACUGUAGGAAGGAGCCUGAGCGCCGCAGCACCUGGAGAGCCUCGCACAGCA